rnacentral:tRNA from 1 species
GGGGAUGUAGCUCAGUGGUAGAGCACCUCCUUAGCCUAUGCAGGGCCCUGGGUUUGAUCCCCAACACCACCA